rnacentral:rRNA from 11 species
GCGACCCCAGGUCAGGCGGGGCCACCCGCUGAGUU